rnacentral:piRNA from 1 species
UGGUAGAUUUGUAAUUCGCGGUGAGGGC